CCUACGGGAGGCAGCAGUGGGGAAUAUUGCACAAUGGGCGAAAGCCUGAUGCAGCGACCCGCGUUGAACGAAGAAGUAUUUCGGUAUGUAAAGUUUCUAUCAGCAGGGGAAGAAAAACGACGGUACCUGACUAAGAAGCUCCGGCUAAAUACGUGCCAGCAGCCGCGGUAAU
rnacentral:rRNA from 1 species